rnacentral:rRNA from 1 species
UACGGGGGGGGCAAGCGUUGUUCGGAAUUACUGGGCGUAAAGGGCGCGUAGGCGGCCUUCUAAGUCGGACGUGAAAUCCCUCGGCUUAACCGAGGAACUGCGUCCGAUACUGAAAGGCUUGAAUCCGGGAGAGGGAUGUGGAAUUCCAGGUGUAGCGGUGAAAUGCGUAGAUAUCUGGACGAACACCGGUGGCGAAGGCGGCGUCCUGGACCAAUACUGACACUGAAACGCGAAAGCCAGGGGAGCAAACGGG